rnacentral:rRNA from 1 species
GAUGAACGCUGGCGGUAUGCUUAACACAUGCAAGUCGAACGGUCACUUCGGUGAUAGUGGCGGACGGGUGAGUAACGCGUGAGAAUCUGUCUUCAGGUCGGGGACAACAGUUAGAAAUGACUGCUAAUACCGGAUGUGCCUUUGGGUGAAAGAUUUAUUGCCUGAAAAAGAGCUCGCGUCAGAUUAGCUAGUAGGUGGUGUAAGAGACUACCUAGGCUCCGAUCUGUAGCUGGUCUGAGAGGACGAUCAGCCGCACUGGAACUGAGACACGGUCCAGACUCCUACGGGAGGCAGCAGUGGGGAAUUUUCCGCAAUGGGCGAAAGCCUGACGGAGCAAUACCGCGUGAGGGACGAAGGCUUUUGGGUCGUAAACCUCUUUUCUCAAGGAAGAUGAUGACGGUACUUGAGGAAUAAGCAUCGGCCAACUCUGUG